rnacentral:rRNA from 1 species
GUAACACGUGGACAAUCUGCCCUGAAGUGGAGGAUAAUCCCGGGAAACUGGGGGUAAUACUCCAUAGUUCGUGCUGACUGGAAUGUUAUGCGAACGAAAGAUCCGUCGCUUCAGGAUGAGUCUGCGGCCGAUUAGGUAGUUGUUGGGGUAACGGCCCAACAAGCCUGUCAUCGGUACGGGUUGUGGGAGCAAGAGCCCGGAGAUGGAUUCUGAGACACGAAUCCAGGCCCUACGGGGCGCAGCAGGCGCGAAAACUUUACCAUGCGGGCAACCGUGAUAAGGAAACCCCGAGUGCCAGCACAGGCUGGCUGUCCGCCAGUGUAAAUAACUGGUGAAGAAAGGGCCGGGCAAGACCGGUGCCAGCCGCCGCGGUAAUACCGGCGGCUCGAGUGGUGGCCACUAUUACUGGGCUUAAAGGGUCCGUAGCUUGAUAUGCAAGUCUCUUGAGAAAUCCGCCAGCUUAACUGGUGGGCGUUCAGGGGAAACUGCAUUUCUAGGGACCGGGAGAGGUGAGAGGUACUGCCGGGGUAGGAGUGAAAUCCUGUAAUCCCGGUGGGACCACCUAUGGCGAAGGCAUCUCACCAGAACGGGUCCGACAGUGAGGGACGAAAGCUGGGGGAGCAAACCGGAUUAGAUACCCGGGUAGUCCCAGCUGUAAACGAUGCGCGUUAGGUGUAUCGGUGACCACGAGUCAUCGAGGUGCCGAAGGGAAACCGUGAAACGUGCCGCCUGGGAAGUACGGUCGCAAGGCUGAAACUUAAAGGAAUUGGCGGGGGAGCACCACAACGGGUGGAGCCUGCGGUUUAAUUGGACUCAACGCCGGGCAGCUCACCGGAUAAGACAGCUGGAUGAUAGCCGGGCUGAAGACUCUGCUUGACUAGCUGAGAGGAGGUGCAUGGCCGUCGUCAGUUCGUACUGUGAAGCAUCCUGUUAAGUCAGGCAACGAGCGAGACCCACGCCAACAGUUGCCAGCAUGUCCUCCGGGAUGAUGGGGACACUGUUG